rnacentral:rRNA from 1 species
AUUGAACGCUGGCGGCAGGCCUCACACAUGCAAGUCGAACGAGUUGCGGACGGGUGAGUAAUGUCUGGGAAACUGCCCGAUGGAGGGGGCUAACUACUGGAAACGGUAGCUAAUACCGCAUACCAUCGGAUGUGCCCAGAUGUGGUUAGCUCGUAGGUGGGGUAACGGCUACCCUCGGCGACGAUCCCUCGCUGGUCUGAGAGGAUGACCGGCCAAAAUGGAACUGAGAAACGGUCCAGACUGCUACGGGAGGGAGCAGUGGGGAAGAUGGCACAAUGGGCGCAAGCCUGAUGCAGCCAUGCCGCGUGGAGUAAGAAGGCCGUCGGGUUGUAAAGGACUUUCAGCGAGGAGGCGUUACUCGCAGAAGAAGCACCGGCUAACUCCGUGCCAGCAGCCGCGGUAAUAC